UUUAACCAGUGACCUGUCUGGUUGUUUCCAGACGGGCGUGGUGACGAGGUCUAAAUAAGGGUGCUCAAAAGCCACAUGUGGCUAGUGAUGACCAUUUGGGCAGUGUGUAACAUUUCCAUCGUCACAUAAAGCGCUAUUGGAUUCUAUCGCUAUAGAGUGUCUCUUGGUGUUGGUGUAAGAAGAUUUGACUUCCAUGAACAGAUACCUGGACAGCUAAAUGGAGUCUGAGCAACUGUUCCAUGGAGGCUCCUAUAGAAACAGCUACAACAGCAUCACCCGUGUGAGCGGCGACGAGGAGCUCUCAGACGGGGCAGGUGUCAUUAUGGACUUCCAGACUUCUGAAGAUGACAGUUUGGUAGACAGGGAUGCAGCAGCCGUGCCUGCAAGGGAGAGAAAGCCAAAGAAAGUGGAGAAGUGCAGAGGGAAGAAAGGGAAAGAGGAUGAGCAAGAGAAGAAUGAUUUCUGGCACCCAAGGCACACAGAGCUGCUUAGCCUUUGGGUACAGCAUGAAGACUUCUGCAACUCUGAACUUUUGAACAUUUUGGAAGGGUUACUUUGCAUUUAAAGGUGCAAAUAUGACUCAAUAACUCUGAAUUGUUUUGUGUAGUUGAAUACUUCAUCCACUGGAUAAAGAAGAUUAUCUAUCUAUCUAUCAUCUAUCUAUGUAUCUACACACACACACACACACACACACACACACAAUGGAAUACUACUCAGCCAUAAAAGGGAAUGAAAUAAUGCCAUUUGCAUGGAUGGACCUGGAGAUUGUCAUUCUAAGUGAAGCCAGAAAGAGAAAGAAAAAUGCCAAAUGAUAUCACUUAAAUGUAGAAUCUUAAAAAAGACACAAAUGAACUUAUUUACAAAACAGAAAAAGAUUCACAGAUAGAGAAAACAAACUUAUGGUUACAAGUGGGGGAAGACAUACUUCUUCAUGUGCCCCUUCCAAACAACAAAGAUUUAGCAUCUAUUUACAGACUAAAGUGCCUUGAGGGAGUUAUGAGAUCCAGCACCAUAUGCCAUGGGACCCAGGAGGAGCCUUGCCCACCUGCACAUUGAGUAAUAGGCUUGUAGACCUUGAUCUUGGCUGUUGACCCUGAAGUGGUCCAUGAACUAGCUCCUGUUCCUCCCAGCCAUGAUCCAGGAGCCCCUGGAGAACCCUGUCUCAGACAAUCACUCACACAUGAACGAGCCUAUCUGGAAGUCCAGGUUUUGAAUGGAGAAGUGUGCUGGAACAAAAAAGUAUGAGUUUGGAUGCAUUGGAGAUAGAAGAAAAUUUUGACUUGACCCACAUCAACCCUUCCCCAAGGUGGCACAGUUCAGGGCCAAGAGAGAUCAUUUCAGCUCAUAAUUCCUCCUACUUCAGUACUUCACUUUCAAUAAUGAAUAAAUCAUCAAGAUCGAAAAGCAAUAAGGAAAUUUUGGACUUGAACUAUACUUUAGAUCAAAUUGACCUGACAGACAUAAAGAGAACAUUCCUUUCAACACAGGCAGAAUGAACAUUCUUGUCCAACACACAUGAAACAAAACAUUCUCCAGAUAGAUAUUAUAGUUUGUUUUUUUUUUUACAGCUCAGCCUCAUUUUUUUCAAUUGAAGUAUAAUUUAUGUACAAUAUUAUGUAAGUUACAGGUUUACAACAUAGUGAUUUAAAAUUUGUAAUGGUUAUACUCUAUUUAUGGUUAUUAUAAAAUAUUACCUAUACUUCCUGCAUCAUACAAUAUAUUCUUGUAGCUUAUUUUAUACAUAAUAGUUUGUACCUCUUAAUCCUCCAUCCCUAUAUUGUCCUUUCCCCCCCUCUGUUCCCACUGGUAACUGCUAGUUUGUUCUCUGUAUCUGUGAGUCUGAUUCUUCCUUAUUGUCUUCACCAAUUUAUUGUAUUUUCAGAUUUCACAUAUAAGUGAUAUCAUGCUGCAUUUGUCUUUCUCUGUCUGACUUCUUUUACUUAGCAUAAGACCCUCCAAGUCCAUCCAUGUUGCAAAUGGCCAAAUUUCAUUCUUUUUUAUGGAUAGGUAAUAGUCCAUGGAACUUUCAGAGAAUUAGAAUAAUUUUAAAAUUUGUAUGGAAAUGCAAAGACCCUGAAUAGCCAAAACGAUCUUGAGAAAGAAGAACAGAGCUGGAGGAAUCAUACUCCCUGGCUUCAAAUUUUACUACAAAUCUACAAUAAUCAAAACAGUAUAAAACUGGCACAAAAACAGACACACAGAUCAAUGGAACAGAAUAGAGAGCCCAGAAAUAAACACACACACCCACAGUCAACUAAUCUUUGACAAAGGAAGCAAGAAUAUACAAUGGAAAAAGACAGUCUUGCAGUAAGUGGUGCUGGAAAACUGGACAGCUACCUGUAAAAGAAUGAUAUUAUAAUAUUAUCUUAACACCAUAUACAAAAAUUAAAAAAAAUUAAAGUGGAUUAAAAGCCUAAAUGUAAGAACAGAAACCAUAAAGCUUCUAGAGGAAAACAUAGGCAGACUAUUCUUUGACAUAGAUCAUAGCAAUACUUUUAUCUGUUUCCUAAAGCAAAGGAAAUAAAGGCAAAAAUAAGCAAAUGGUACCUAAUUAAACUUAAAAGUUUUUGCACAGAAAAGAUGACCAUCAACAAAACCAAAGACAAUACUGAAUAGGAGUAAAUAUUUGCAAGUAAUAUGACUUAUAAGAGGCUAAAAUUCAAAAUAUACAAGCAGUUCAUACAACUCAAAAAAAAAUUUUUUUAAUUGAGCAUAAGAUAUGAACAGACUUUUUUUUUUCUCCCAAAGAAGACAUGCAAAUGGCCAACAGGCAUUUGAAAAGAUGCUCAGCAUCACUGACCAUCAGGGAAAUGCAAAUCCAAGGCACAACGAGGUACCACCUCACAUCUGUCAGAAUGGCUGUUAUCAAAAAUCACAAAUGACUAAUGUGGAGGAUGUGGAGAAAAGGGACCCGUCACACACUGUGGCCGGUGAGCCUGGCUGCCGGGACCUUGAGAUGACCAGUCCCUCAAGAUCCUGGGGGCCCCCUCAGCCCUCCGCCUCAGAGUCACCCGACAGUCAACCUGGUGACCCAGCUGCUGUCCAAGUCGCAGGUGGAGGACCCCUUGCCCCUGUGUUCUCGGGCACACCAAAGGGCAGUGGGGCUGACUAGGGUGUUGGCCUUGACCUGGAGGAAUUCCUAAGCCACUCUUUCGGUGUGGGUGUGGCUGAUGGGCCCCAGGAUGGCCAGGCCGACUUGCCCGCUCUUGGCCUCCUUCCUUGCUGACUGGCUUGAGGGCCAUGGCAUGAUCCCUGCAGACGUCGAGUCCCUGCAGCGUGAGGUCCAGAUGGAUGCCCCUAUGCUGCUGCCUGACCUGCCUGUCCUCCAGGAGCCUUGAGGCCCACAGUCUGUGCCUUGCUGCCAGGGGCGGACCCAGCUCCAAGACCGCAGGAACAUUCCCCAGGGCACCAGCCCAGCAGGGGAAGCUCAUCUCAGAGCCACCCUGCAGCCUUAAGCAGUCCCCUGAGCCACCAGUGAGCCACAGGCAGGAUCGGAAGAGCCCUACCUCCGAGCGGAUAUAAAUUGGUGUAGCGAGUAUGGAAAGCUGUAUGGAGGUUUUUCAAAAAACUAAAACAACCAUAUGAUCCAGCAACUCCACUCCUGGGUACAUACCUGAAAAAAACAAAAAUACUAAAUUGAAAAGCUUCAUGCAUUCCAAUGUUCACACUAGCAUUAUUUACAAUAGCCAAGAUAUGGAAGUAACCUAAGGGUCCAUCAACAGAUGAAUGAAUAAAGAUGUGGCAUAUACACACAAAAUAAGACAUAGAAUACAAACUUGUGGUUGCCAGGUGGAGGGAGGUGGGAAGGGGCAGACUGGGAGUUUGAAAUUUAUAGAUACUGACAGGUAUAUAUAGAAUAGAUAAACAAGAUUAUACUGUAUAGCACAGGAAAAUAUAUAUAAGAUCUUGUGGUAGCUCAUGGUGAAAAAGAAUGAGACAAUGAAUAUAUGUAUGUUCAUGUAUAACUGAAAAAACUGUGCUCCACACUGGAAAUUGACACAUUGUAAACUGACUGUAACUUAAUUUUAAAAAAUGUUGUGAUAUAUUAUACAAUGGAAUACUACUCUGCCAUGAAAAGAAUAAAAUAAUGUCAUUUGCAGCAACAUGGAUGGACCUAGAGAUCAUCAUUCUAAGUGAAGUAAGCCAGAAAAAGAAAGAAAAAUACCAUAUAUCACUUGCAAUUUUUAUUUCAUAUGUGGUUCAAAAAAGUGUAAUGAAUGGAUGUUGUUUGAUCCAGGUUUAUGUGUACUCAUGCAUAACAGCACUGCCUGCGCGAGCAGUACAGGCAGCCAAAAAGGCCAUAGGAAGGAGGUUAUAAGUGGAACAAGUUUCCUUCCGGUUCAGCUGUGGUCUUCAGGCUGUUUUGCGUUAAUAUUCUCUAAUGAGUUUUGAAAAACUAUGAACCUCUAUUCUUUAUAAAGUGUGGCAUAUAAAUAUUUUAAUUCAAGAUUAGAUACUUGCUGUCUAGUUUUUGCUCUUCCAAAAGCAUCCAUCCAUAGAAAUUCAGUGUCCAGGAUCAUUCAUAUAAAUAAGCAUACGAUUAGUUCUUGCUCGACAGUUGAAUGUUUAGCAUCUUUCCUCUCUCUGAACUCCUGUUUCUAUUCUCUUUCCCUUAUUGGUAUUUAUCAGGAGGUAAUUUAUGUUUGA